rnacentral:rRNA from 1 species
AGAGUUUGAUCCUGGCUCAGGAUGAACGCUGGCGGCGUGCCUAACACAUGCAAGUCGAGCGAGAAGCUGAUGACAGAUACUUCGGUUGAAGGAGUCAGUGGAAAGCGGCGGACGGGUGAGUAACGCGUAGGCAACCUGCCCUUUGCACAGGGAUAGCCAUUGGAAACGAUGAUUAAAACCUGAUAACACCAUUUGGUUACAUGAGCAGAUGGUCAAAGAUUUAUCGGCAAAGGAUGGGCCUGCGUCUGAUUAGCUAGUUGGUAAGGUAACGGCUUACCAAGGCGACGAUCAGUAGCCGACCUGAGAGGGUGAACGGCCACAUUGGAACUGAGACACGGUCCAAACUCCUACGGGAGGCAGCAGUGGGGAAUAUUGCACAAUGGGCGAAAGCCUGAUGCAGCAACGCCGCGUGAAGGAAGAAGGCCUUCGGGUCGUAAACUUCUGUCCUUGGGGAAGAAGAACUGACGGUACCCAAGGAGGAAGCCCCGGCUAACUACGUGCCAGCAGCCGCGGUAAUACGUAGGUGGCAAGCGUUGUCCGGAAUUACUGGGUGUAAAGGGAGCGCAGGCGGGAAGCCAAGUCAGCUGUGAAAACUACGGGCUUAACUUGUAGACUGCAGUUGAAACUGGUUUUCCUGAGUGAAGUAGAGGUUGGCGGAAUUCCUAGUGUAGCGGUGAAAUGCGUAGAUAUUAGGAGGAACACCAGUGGCGAAGGCGGCUUUCUGGACUGUAACUGACACUGAGGUACGAAAGCGUGGGGAGCAAACAGGAUUAGAUACCCUGGUAGUCCACGCCGUAAACGAUGAGCACUAGGUGUCGGAGUCGCAAGACUUCGGUGCCGUAGUUAACGCAUUAAGUGCUCCGCCUGGGGAGUACGCACGCAAGUGUGAAACUCAAAGGAAUUGACGGGGACCCGCACAAGCAGCGGAGCAUGUGGUUUAAUUCGAAGCAACGCGAAGAACCUUACCAGGACUUGACAUCCCUCUGACAGACCCUUAAUCGGGUUUUUCUACGGACAGAGGAGACAGGUGGUGCAUGGUUGUCGUCAGCUCGUGUCGUGAGAUGUUGGGUUAAGUCCCGCAACGAGCGCAACCCUUGCCAUUAGUUGCCAGCAGUAAGAUGGGCACUCUAGUGGGACUGCCGGGGACAACUCGGAGGAAGGUGGGGAUGACGUCAAAUCAUCAUGCCCCUUAUGUUCUGGGCUACACACGUGCUACAAUGGCCGGUACAGAAAGCAGCGAAGUCGUGAGGCGGAGCAAAUCUCGAAAACCGGUCCCAGUUCGGACUGCAGGCUGCAACUCGCCUGCACGAAGCCGGAGUUGCUAGUAAUCGCGGAUCAGAAUGCCGCGGUGAAUGCGUUCCCGGGUCUUGCACACACCGCCCGUCA